rnacentral:rRNA from 1 species
AUGUUGAGGGACAUGCAGUUUCGGUCGGGUGUGGCGCUUGCAGUUGCAGGGCUGUUGUCAGGCUUGCAACUGGCCAGCCCCCUCCGACACAACAAAAAAGUCCAGUUGGGGUUGGUUAGAAGACAUGCAGUUGCGGUCGGCUGCUACACUUGCAGUUGCAUGCCUAAAGUCGGACAUGCAACUGGCCUGCCCUCUCUUCCGCCGCCCCCUCCGACAAAAGAAAGUCUAGUUGCAACCAUGUUCGCGGACAUGCAGUUGCGGUCGGGUGCGGCACUUGCAGUUACGGGGUUGUCGGGCUUGCAACUGCCCCCCCCCUCUAUCGGCGCCCCCUCCGGCAGAACAAAAAAAAUCUAG